rnacentral:rRNA from 1 species
UACGUAGGUGGCAAGCGUUGUCCGGAAUUAUUGGGCGUAAAGCGCGCGCAGGCGGCCUCCUAAGUCCGAUGUGAAAGCCCACGGCUCAACCGUGGAGGGUCAUUGGAAACUGGGGGACUCGAGUGUGGCAGAGGGGGGUGGAAUUCCGCGUGUAGCAGUGAAAUGCGUAGAGAUGCGGAGGAACACCGAUGGCGAAGGCAGCCCCCUGGGCUAACACUGACGCUCAGGCACGAAAGCGUGGGGAGCAAACAGG